rnacentral:rRNA from 1 species
CUGUUUAGCAAAAACACAGGUCUCUGCUAAAGCGCAAGCUGAUGUAUAGGGGCUGACGCCUGCCCGGUGCUGGAAGGUUAAGGGGAACACUUAGCGCAAGCGAAGGUGUGAACUUAAGCCCCAGUAAACGGCGGCCGUAACUAUAACGGUCCUAAGGUAGCGAAAUUCCUUGUCAGGUAAGUUCUGACCCGCACGAAUGGCGUAAUGACUUGGGCACUGUCUCAACUGCAAAUCCGGCGAAGUUGUAGUGCGAGUGAAGAUGCUCGCUACCCGCGAUUGGACGGAAAGACCCCGUAGAGCUUUACUGUAGCUUAGCAUUGAAUUCCGGUAUUGUCUGUACAGGAUAGGUGGGAGACUGGGAAACUAGGGCGUCAGCCUUAGUGGAGUCAUCCUUGGGAUACCACCCUGACAGUACUGGGGUUCUAACAGGAUGCCAUGAAUCUGGUGACUGGACAUUGUUAGGUGGGCAGUUUGACUGGGGCGGUCGCCUCCUAAAAAGUAACGGAGGCGCCCAAAGGUUCCCUCAGAACGGUCGGAAAUCGUUCGUAGAGUGCAAAGGCAGAAGGGAGCCUGACUGCGAGACCUACAAGUCGAGCAGGGACGAAAGUCGGGCUUAGUGAUCCGGUGGUACCUCGUGGGAGGGCCAUCGCUCAACGGAUAAAAGCUACCUCGGGGAUAACAGGCUGAUCUCCCCCAAGAGUCCACAUCGACGGGGAGGUUUGGCACCUCGAUGUCGGCUCAUCGCAUCCUGGGGCUGAAGUAGGUCCCAAGGGUUGGGCUGUUCGCCCAUUAAAGCGGUACGCGAGCUGGGUUCAGAACGUCGUGAGACAGUUCGGUCCCUAUCCGGCGUGGGCGUAGGAUAUUUGAGAGGAGCUGUCCUUAGUACGAGAGGACCGGGAUGGACUGACCUCUGGUGCACCAGUUGUUCUGCCAAGAGCAUGGCUGGGUAGCUAAGUCGGGAAGGGAUAAACGCUGAAAGCAUCUAAGCGUGAAGCCUCCCUCAAGAUGAGAUUUCCCAUAGUCGAAAGACUAGUAAGACCCCUUGAAGAACACGAGGUUGAUAGGUCAGAGGUGUAAGUGUGGUAACAUAUUUAGCUGACUGAUACUAAUAGGUCGAGGGCUUGACCAA